rnacentral:rRNA from 1 species
UACACGCGGGCUACAAUGGGUGGGACGAAUGGGUAUCGGACACCGAAACGGUGAAGGGCAAUCUCCUAAACCCAUCCGUAGUUCGGAUUGUGGGCUGCAACUCGCCCACAUGAAGCUGGAAUCUGUAGUAAUCGUGUCUCAAAAUGGCACGGUGAAUAUGUCCCUGCUCCUU